UUACAUCUCUUCGGAGCAUUUUACGAGGUGCUGCAUGGUUGUCGUCAGCUCGUGCCGUGAGGUGUCGGGUUAAGUCCCAUAACGAGCGCAACCCUACCUUUAGUUGCCAUCAGGUUAAGCUGGGGACUCUAAAGGAACUGCCUACGGCAAGUAGUGAGGAAGGCGGGGAUGACGUCAAAUCAGCACGGCCCUUACGUCCAGGGCUACACACGUGCUACAAUGGCCGAUACAGAGGGCAGCUACCUGGUGACAGGAUGCAAAUCUCCAAAGUCGGUCUCAGUUCGGAUCGGAGUCUGCAACCCGACUCCGUGAAGUUGGAUUCGCUAGUAAUCGCGCAUCAGCCAUGGCGCGGUGAAUACGUUCCCGGGCCUU
rnacentral:rRNA from 1 species